rnacentral:rRNA from 1 species
GACGUAGGAGGCGAGCGUUAUCCGGAUUCAUUGGGCGUAAAGGGCAAGUAGGCGGUUGUCAAAGUUGGGCGUGACAUCUCCUGGUUUAACUAGGAGGGGUCGUUCAAAACUAGGCGACUAGAGGGCAGAAGAGGAAAGCGGAACUCCUGAUGUAGCGGUGGAAUGCUCAGAUAUCAGGAAGAACACCAGUGGCGAAGGCGGCUCUCUGGCCUAGAACUGACGCUGAAGCGCGAAAGCGUGGGUAGCGAACGGGAUUAGAUACCCCUGUAGUCCCU